CAUGCAAGUCGAACGCCCCGCAAGGGGAGUGGCAGACGGGUGAGUAACGCGUGGGAGUCUACCCUUUUCUACGGAACAACUGAGGUGAAACUUCAGCUAAUACCGUAUACGGCCGAGAGGCGAAAGAUUUAUCGGAGAAGGAUGAGCCCGCGUCUGGAUUAGCUAGUUGGUGGGGUAAAGGCCUACCAAGGCGACGAUCCAUAGCUGGUCUGAGAGGAUGAUCAGCCACACUGGGACUGAGACACGGCCCACACUCCUACGGGAGGCAGCAGUGGGGAAUAUUGGACAAUGGGCGCAAGCCUGAUCCAGCCAUGCCGCGUGAGUGAUGAAGGCCCUAGGGUUGUAAAGCUCUUUCACCGGUGAAGAUAAUGACGGUAACCGGAGAAGAAGCCCCGGCUAACUUCGUGCCAGCAGCCGCGGUAAUACGAAGGGGGCUAGCGUUGUUCGGAUUUACUGGGUGUACAAGCGCACGUAGGCGGACUAUUAAGUCAGGGGUGAAAUCCCGGGGCUCAACCCCUGAGCUGCCUUUGAUACUGGUAGUCUUGAGUUCGAGAGAGGUGAGUGGAAUUCCGAGUGUAGAGGUGAAAUUCGUAGAUGUUCGGAGGAUCACCAGUGGCGAAGGCGGCUCACUGGCUCGAUACUGACGCUGAGGUGCGAAACCGUGGUGAGCAAACAGGAUUAGAUACUCUGGUAGACCACGCCGUACACUAUGAGAGCUAUCCGUCCGGCAGUAUACUGUUCGGUGGCGCAGCUGACGCAUUAAGCUCUUCGCCUCGGGAGUACGGUCGCACGAUUACAUACUCAAUCGAUUCGUCGGGC
rnacentral:rRNA from 1 species